rfam:Myotis lucifugus cont2.33153, whole genome shotgun sequence.
ACUGGAGGGGGGGGGGGUCCCUCAGCCCGGAUUGCGAGAGGUUGCAGGCCAGGUCAAGGGACCCCACCAGUGCACA